UACCAGCACCCCGAGUGGUCGGGACGUUUAUUGGGCCUAAAGCAUCCGUAGCCGGUUCUACAAGUCUUCCGUUAAAUCCACCUGCUUAACAGAUGGGCUGCGGAAGAUACUAUAGAGCUAGGAGGCGGGAGAGGCAAGCGGUACUCGAUGGGUAGGGGUAAAAGUCCGUUCGAUCCAUUGAAGACCACCAGUGGCGAAGGCGGCUUGCCAGAACGCGCUCGACGGUGAGGGAUGAAAGCUGGGGGAGCAAACCGG
rnacentral:rRNA from 1 species